CAGGACUCCAAAUUGAGGGUGAAGUAGAACUGUCUAAAACUUUAUUUUACUUGGGACAAGCCCAUAUGGUCAUUACAUUAACAUUGCUGUGAAAACUCAAUAAAAUUACAAACAGUCAAAUGCAUCAAUCCUUUGUGUGGGAUCAAGUACAUUAAACAUGGCUCUGAAACAUGUCAAGUAACUAUGUCGAAAACCGUUAGUAAUGCACUGGUACAUGCUAUCUUAGUAAAAGAUAAAU